AGUUCAUUGAUAUCUUCCUAUUUCUUUGGUAAUUUGCCUCUGCCACUUGACAUUCUGGCCUGCUUUCUUGCUUACUCUUGGUUAUCUUUGUUCUUAUUGUUUGCAUCAUGUUGUUAUCAUGCCAUAAACUGGUUCAAACUGCUUUGAAUUAUCAUGGCGACUGUGAUGUUAUGUGUUGUUUGCUAGCAUGGCAAUCUCCAUUUAUCUUUUCUUAAGUGCACUUUGAGAUUCUUAUAUAUCGUUCUUAUGGAUUUAGAUCUUGUCAGUGUGAGUAGUGGUAUCAUUUUAUUUUUCCGUUUAAAUUCCUUUGAGGCGCUAUGAAGUUCUAGUAGAUGAGGAAUUCUAACGCAUGUGCCACCAAAAAAGUCUUGAAGGUUUAGGUGGUUAUGGCUCACACACGCGGCGGCAACUCGGUUUCCACCUGUUUGCAGGUUUUUUUUACCGAGUUUGCCCCGUGUGGGUUGGGUCAUAACCAUGCCUUCAUUGAGGAAAAAAAGAGAGGGGGUGGUGCGUAAAAGAAGUGUUAGGGUGUUCAUCACCUAAGUGAAGUGAUGAGUUUGUGCGCUCUAACACAAGCACAAAGAAGGUGAGAAUCAGUGAACACCCCUCCAUGCAAGUGGGAAAAAUACUCAGACCAGAAUUCCCUUAUUGUUUACUACUUCCGCUUGUGUCACGAAGGUAAGAUAAUGGAAACGAAAUGAUAUUCUCCACUGGCAAGGUUUAUUUUCAUUAGCACGAUAUGUGUGAAUGUCACUUGUAGUUCUUUACGGGACAUUGGUUUUUUAUUGUGUGGUCAGGCUUGACACAUGCCAUAAACUGGUUCAAACUGCUUUGAAUUAUCAUGGCGACUGUGAUGUUGUGUGUUGUUUGCUAGCAUGACAAUCUCCAUUUAUCUUUCCUUCAGUGCACUUUGAGAUUCUUAUAUAUCGUUCUUAUGGAUUUAGAUCUUGCCAAUGUGAGUAGUAGUAUCAUUUUAUUUCUCCGUUUAAACUCCUUUGAGGCGCUAUGAAGUUCUAGUAGAUGGGGAAUUCUAACGCAUGUACCAUCAAAAAAGUCUUGAAGGUUUAGGUGGUUAUGGCUCACACACGUGGUGGCGACCCGGUUUCCACCUGUUUGCAGGUUUUUUUUAUCGAGUUUGCCCCGUGUGGGUUGGGUCAUAACCAUGCCUUCAUUGAGGGAAAAAAAGAGGGGGUGGUGCGUAAAAGAAGUGUUAGGGUGUUCAUCACCUAAGUGAAGUGAUGAGUUUGUGCACUCUAACACAAGCACAAAGAAGGUGAGAAUCAGUGAACACCCCUCCAUGCAAGUGGGAAAAAUACUCAGACCAGAAUUCCCUUAUUGUUUACUACUUCCGCUUGUGUCACGGUCAUUGGACCCUUGCGGUCCCAUUUGAUAUAUCUUUGAGCGUUUUUGGUGAGUUUCUAGGUCAUGUUCAAUCAUCACCUCGUGGUCUCAUUGCUAAGGUUGGUUUUUGACUAGUUUUAAUUUGAUUUUCACCAGCUCUCAUAAUUUCUUUUACUAUGCAAUAAUUGACCUUCUCCUUUGUACUUGUAGAGUUUAACUGCUUUUGACUCUUCAUUUGACAUGUGCUGCUACAAGCCUUUUGGUGUGAAGGUGGAUUGGAGCUUGGUUGGGAAAGCUUCUCCAUAUGUUUGUCCUCUUCAUUUCGCUACUUCUUCCUUUAUGUUGUUGUGGUUCUAGGAUGUUUGCCCAUCUAUUGGUUUUUGGGUUCAGGGUUUAAUGUCUGGGGUUAGGGGUCUAGCGUCUAGGGUGAACAUUCAGGUAUAAAAAUAAAGGAUUAGUACAGAAAGGCAGAAACCAUGGAUCUGAUCAAAAGGUAUGAUAAACUAGAACAUCUGUAUUUAUCCUUCAUUGUGCUUCAUAUAACAUGAAGAUGGUGGAUAAUCCCAAGUUUCAUUGCAUUUGCAGGGCUAAGGUGAACAUUCAGGUAUAAGAACAAAGGAUCAAUGCAGAAAGGCAGAAACAAUGGAUCUGAUUAGAAGGUAUGAUAAACUAGAACAUUAGUGCUGUUAUUAUCCUUUAUCGUGCUUCAUAUAAGAUGGAAAUGGUGGAUGAUCCCGAGUUUGAUUGCAUUUGCAGGGCUAAGUGGAAGCCUCAAAUAAAGGAGAAAGUAGCAAACAUGCUGCCCUCUGGUGUGGUUAAAAUCUGAGUACUCAUUACGGGUCUGCAAGCACAGCUUGGCAAACUCCUAUUAUAUGUGUAAGUUUACAGACUACAUAUUUUCCUUAAGUAUUCCUUGUCCGAUGAAUGCUGAAAAUAUCAUGAAUAUUCCUUCUUUUACCCGGUGUGAACAUAGUUUCUUGAAAGUCCUAAUUAGUGGCAAGUUAGAUUCAUUUGAAAGUUAUCUUGAAUUUCCAUUCACAUCCGAGAGGUGCUUGCAUGCAAAUCUUAAUGGUGGUGUGGAGUAAUUUGUGUUGUCCACAGUCUAUGGUCAAAACGUUUUGGACAACUGGUUGAAAAGGACAGCAUGUACCAAAAAUGUGCAGGUUCGUAUUCCAUCUCUAAUAUGCUGUUUUCAUCUUUGCUCUUUGAUUUGGACAAUAAGUGUAGGUUGUUUACUCGCUAUUUAACUACAGGUAUAUGUUUUCCUGUUGCUCUUGCAACUCAGGCCUUGAGAAUUCUGCCAGCAUGCCUAGGGAUAUAGCAUAAACAAGUAGUUUCGUUGUUCAAGGUAUGAACAAUGUUUGGAUGCCUAUAUGUGUAUCCAUGAUUCAUGUUCUUUGUCUAAAUCCAGUAAAAUAAGGAUUAUGGAGACGCUAAACUUGCGAAAGAUUUGCAAACAUUUCUAAGGAUCUUGCAGGUGCCAAAUUUGCGAAAGAUUUUCAAACAAGAGAUUUCACAACAAAUCGGUCAGGUGAAUGAUAUUCUUAAAGAUCUUUCAUCCAUGAACAAGGAACCAUGAUCAGCGAGUACCUUCACAAGAAUUUCAGUGAUAUCUUUCCUGUUUCCCCAUCCUUCUCUUCAAUACUUUUGGACAUGUUGCAGAUGAGAGUGGUGCCUGCAUUGAUAACACACAAGCUGCAACUGCACAAGGGAAACAUCAUCUUGUCUAAACAUCAUCUUGUCAAAGCUAUGGAAGUCCCAAAAUCAAACGCGUCCCUGGUAAUUCUCCUCUGCCACUUUUCAUUCUUCCUAUUCUUCUGAUGGUAUUUUUCUGCUGUAGUUCGUAGGUCUUUUACUCUUCGCUACUGUGUGCUUCCUCCUUACUAUGUUGGUCUUCUAACUGCUGACCUGCUUUUGUAACUUACUGGGCUGGUACUGGGGUUUAGGGUAAUUUAUGUACUAGUUACAGGGGUGUAGCGUCUAGGGUGAACAUUCAGAUAUAAGAACAAAGGAUCCGUGCAGAAAGGUAGAAACCGUGUAUCUGAUCAGAAGGUAUGAUAAAUUAAACCGUUGAUGCUGUAAUUAUUCUUUAUUGUGUUUCAUAUAAGAUGGAAAUGGUGGAUGAUUCCAAGUUUGAUUGCAUUUGCAGGGCUGAGUGGUAUUUUUUCAAAUGAAGGAGAAAGUACUGAACAGUGUGUUGCCCCUCUGGUGUGGUUAAAAUCUGAGUACUCAUUACGGGGUCUGCAAGCACAGCUUGACAAACUCCUAUUAUAUUUGUAAGUACAAACUACAUAUCUUCCUUAAGUAUUACUUGUCGGAUGAAUGCUAAAAAUCUCAUAAAUUGUUUGGAUGCCUUAUAUGUGUAUCCAUGAUUCAUGUUUGUUGUUCUAAAUGCAGCAAAAUAAGGAUCUUAGAGACACUAAACUUGCAAAAUAUUUUCAAACAUUUCUAAGGAUCUUGCAGGUGCUAAACUUGCCUCCAUGGUCUCAUAGCUGAG
rnacentral:lncRNA from 1 species